GAUGAAUUCUGACAUUUAGUUGACAUAGCAUUGAAAAAGCAGUUUUUUUAUAGUUCUAUCAAUUUUCUUCGAUUUCGACAGUCCAUAUACCAAACGAAGUGAUAGGGGUGCAAAUUGCACAAAAAUACUGCGCAGUUACAAUAAAUGCGCAAUAUCAAUUAUAUAUUCUAGAUUUCGAUUGUGGAUCAGAAAAUUUUGUUAUUUUAUUUUCGAAAAGGCACUUUUUUAAUUUUUUUCAAUUUUGAAAAUUGAGACUGUCCAUUUUUUUCGAUUUUGUUGGUUAAUUGCGAAAUAUAGGGCAAGAAGUGCAAGUGGGCGUUUAACUGUCCCGCGUAGUUACCUUUUAUCUCUUAUAUAUUCUAAAUUUCGAUAGUGGAUUAUGAUUUUUCCACCUAUUAGCUUAGAAUAAACUCUUUUCUAAAUAAUCUGUCAAUUUUUUUCGAUUUUGAUUGUUCAGUUGUGAAAUAUAAGUGCAAGUGGAUGUUCGAACGUGCUGCGUCGCUAGACAUUAUGGACUUAUAUAUUCAAAAUUUCCUAUAUGAAUUAGGAUUUUUUGGUUUAUUACCGUCGAAUAGGCUGUUAUUUAAUUAGUGCACCGAUUUUGUUUCGAUUUCGACGAUUCAAUGGCAGAAUUAAUUAGUGAAAUGAAAUUCCCAGAGUUGAAAAGAAGAAGAAGUACACAAAGAGGACAGAGAAUUAAACGAAGAUCGAGGUUCGCUAUUUAUACAAAGCUGGUGCGCCAGUGUGUUACUAAUAAAGGAUAUUAGUUUGACGGGUGAUAGAGUGGGGAUGCGAGGAAGAGGCCAUGUUGAAGUCUAGAGGUUAAUCUACUCGAAGACGCACGCCCGUCGGGUACCAGAGCUUCUGAGAUAUUACCGGAAAUUCGGCCAUUCGACGGAUGUUAUUCGCGCGCCAGCAUCAUAUCAUGGGAAUAUAAUUUUUAUGGUAAAAGCAUCUAUAAAAAUCCACCACAUAUCCAGCUACUACAUAAAUUAUAGUCUUUGACAGCUAACAAAUAUUUCACCGACAAGAUUAUCGACCAUUGUGGUCGAUAUUUCAAAUUUUUAUCGACAUUUCGAGGUGGACGUCGCGAUAAACAGUCUUUUUACCGGAAAUGUCAACUGACUCGAGCGUUUCGUAUUUCCUUUUCGUUUAUGAGAAAUUUCCCUCGGGCUCGUCCCGUUUUUAAUACGUCAAAGCGACAAUUUAUUGUAGCACUGUGUACUAUGUUGCGGUAAUACGUCUUCGAUAAUUCAGUUUAUUCGAUGCUGUUUUCGCACCUGUCGACUUUCAAAUUACACAGACAAAAACCAAUUUACUUUAAAAUCUGAUUAAAAACCCGAAAUGCAACACAGACGCGCCAUGUGAGUAUCGAUUUCAGCAGAGUUAAAAGCUUGGCUGAAGGAUCUGGAAAUGAGAAAUCCCUGAUUAAAAGAUAAUGUGUUUUUAAUUUGU